rnacentral:rRNA from 1 species
AGCAGCCGCGGUAAUUCCAGCUCCAAUAGCGUAUAUUAAAGUUGUUGCAGUUAAAAAGCUCGUAGUUGAAUUUCGGGGUCAGUAGGUUGGUCAUGCCACUGGUAUGUACUGGCCUCACUGAUUCCUCCUUCCUGAUGAGCCGUAAUGCCAUUAAUUUGGUGUUGCGAGGAAUCUGGACUGUUACUUUGAAAAAAUUAGAGUGUUUAAAGCAGGCUAACGCUUGAAUACAUUAGCAUGGAAUAAUGAAAUAGGACGUUCGAUCUUAUUUUGUUGGUUUCUAAGAUUGACGUAAUGAUUAAUAGGGAUAGUUGGGGGCAUUAGUAUUCAAGUGUCAGAGGUGAAAUUCUUGGAUUUAUUGAAGACUAACUACUGCGAAAGCAUUUGCCAAGGAUGUUUUCAUUAAUCAAGAACGAAAGUUAGGGGAUCGAAGCCGAUCAGAUACCGUCGUAGUCUUAACCAUAAACUAUGCCGACUAGGGAUCGGAUGAUGUUAAUUUUUUAAUGACUCAUUCGGCGCCUUACGG